UACAGAGGGUGCGAGCGUUGUCCGGAAUCACUGGGCGUAAAGGGCGCGUAGGUGGUGGCUUAAGCGUGCGGUGAAAGCUCGGGGCUCAACCCCGAGUCGGCCGUGCGAACUGGGCUCACUGGAGCAUAGUAGAGGCAGGUGGAAUUCCGGGUGUAGCGGUGGAAUGCGUAGAGAUCCGGAAGAACACCGGUGGCGAAGGCGGCCUGCUGGGCUAUGGCUGACACUGAGGCGCGACGGCGUGGGGAGCAAACAGGG
rnacentral:rRNA from 1 species